AGACCUUUUUCACAAUGCGGAAAGUCGGGAUUUUACAAUCCGGCAACGCCGCAAUCGGCCAUCUUUGUUCUAAUUAAUUUUUCCCCGUGUAAAUUCCCAUAAGGAAUCGGGGUCCCUUUACUUUUAAUUCAUUUUCUACUUAUUGGUGUCUUAAAUCCAAUAUAUUUCUCGUGGAUCUUGUUCCCCGAAUAACUGGUUGUUUUGAUUCUGGAAUGUCAAAACAGACAUGUUGUAUGUUUGUGUGUCUGAACUCUGAAUAGGUCAGCCAAGUUAUGUAUUUAACUAAAGAUGUUGACUGGGCAUCUGGCACCAACACGUAAUCAUGAGAAUAAUUCCAUUGGGAUGGCUACUGUUAAAAGAAUUAGUCGCUCUGUAAGAAGGCAGAUUGCUAGUAUAUGUUGAAAGAUACACCCACACGUUCCAAAAGAUGCAGUAACUGAUGUCAUGAAAGAUAACGCUGGAGAUACCCAAUGCAGAACACCUUUGAUUAACACAUCAACAAACGAGCAGCAUCCAUCUACCUGCAACACAGCUCUUGCAUUAGAAAACCAGGCAUUGGUUCUUCGAAUAAAAGUAUUGAAAAAUGAAAAGACAAUAACUAGUUGAAACAGUGUCACAUCUUCAGUAUCUGUAUUAAAAACUUCUUUUCACCUCGUUUAAUACAAUGUUUCUCUAGAAAAAAGAA
rnacentral:lncRNA from 1 species